GUGAAAUAUUCCAGGAAGGGGGAAAAAACGAAAGGGAGAGACAAUUUCACAAGCAGCCUUCAAAUAUCUGGCUCGAGAAAUGUCAGAUCAGAUAGUCCCCAAGACCUUGAAAAGGGCAAAGAGAACUAUGAACUCUGCCAUUACAUAACCAAUGCAAAACUCACGGAUAUCUUUGUUCCUGUUCUCUCUGCUUAGAGAAAAGCAGACAUCAAAGCAGACUGACAAUCCUCUGCUUGUUUAAAGGACAACAUUCAUUGAAUACCUCUUAACUGAUAAAACUGACAGUCUCAGUCCUGGCUUCAGAUUUGAAUCACCUGGGAAGAUUUAAAAGCACUACCCUGGAGCAACGAAAUCAGACUUUCUGGGGACGGAGCCCAGACGUCAGUAUUUUCAAGAGUUCCCCAGGAGACUGCAAUGAACAGCCCUGGUCAACACCAAACAAAUGAAGAAUUGAUGCAUUCUUUGGGGAAGAUUCACCUUUUGCUAACAUCUGCUGCCAAUCUUCCUCCUUUUUAUUUUCCUCUCAAGUCCCAGCACAUAGUUGUGUCUAGUUGAUACUCAAGAAAAAAAGAGAAAUGAUGGUGGACAAACACCUUCUGGAAGAGUGGAAUAGGAAGGCAGCACUUUCCACACUUGCAGAUAGCUCUGCAUUAGAGUAUCACCUAUUCGUGAGAAAUCUAAGGAUGACAAAAAUGAACCAGAAAGGCUUUCUUUGAAAGAAAAACUACCUCAGUAUCAUUAAAAAAAAAAAAUCCUGGGGAGGGGGAGGAAUUCUUUAGUUCCUAAAGGAAAAAUGUUAAAAAAUAUCUUCUCAAAGUCAUCAAUGAAGAGACGGCAUUAUUUGAAGAUAGGAGAGUCAGAAAGAAAAUAUGCUAGUUUUAUAUGCCUUCCUGACGUUCACAGACCAGAGUUUCCAGGGGCUGGAUAAUUCUGCAAAAGUACUCUGGAGUUUCAACAAUGACAUGAUUGUCAUUUUUGUUUUUUAAGAUCACAGUUUUUUUAAACAGAUCAAAAAUUAUUUCAUA
rnacentral:lncRNA from 1 species